UACGUAGGGGGCAAGCGUUGUCCGGAUUUAUUGGGCGUAAAGAGCGUGUAGGCGGCUAGGUAGGUCCGUUGUGAAAACUCGAGGCUCAACCUCGAGCUGUCGAUGGAAACCAUCUGGCUAGAGUCCGGAAGAGGAGAGUGGAAUUCCUGGUGUAGCGGUGAAAUGCGUAGAUAUCAGGAGGAACACCGGUGGCGAAGGCGCUCAUCUGGCCCAAUACUGACGCUGAGGCGCGAAAGCUAGGGGAGCAAACGGG
rnacentral:rRNA from 1 species